CUAGUUUAUAACUUCGGUGGCAUUGAAGCUGUGUUACGUUGCUCAGCGGUAGAUACGCACCGUUCCACCUACCACCCCAUGCAUCAGAUAUUUUGGAGAUUUUCCAUCACCACCAUGGCUGCCGCUUCUUGCUAAUGCACCAACUCAAUCCACAUUCUCGGGCGCACGACUGCAUUUUUGCGAGACGGAUUAAUUUCCCAACGCCCAGGCGGCCGGCAGACGAACCUUGUUUAACUGACCCUGGAGGAUCCAGGACCUCACUCUUACUUCUCAAAAAAUAAGAGUUCCAGUUUGAGGACGUUGUUCGCCCAUCAGCAAAUGAUGCCCAAUUAGGGGAAAGCUGAGUAUUUCAAAGCAUUAUGACUGAACAGGGCCCAACUCUGCUUGGCUCUCUGACUUGAAUGGAAACAAUACAGCAACUUAGAGAAAGAAGCAACAACUCCACGUGCAAGUUUGUCACUGUACGACCAACCCAGGAUGUAAACCACUGUACACCACAACACACACACACUUCCAAAGCCAUCUGAUUGUGUUGUGUCUAUGUCUUUUCUCCUCCGUGGUGGAUAAGGGAUGGGGAAUGAAGGUGGGACUCUGGCCUGUGCUAUGAGAACAGUCAUGUGACAUGACAAGGGCAAGACAAAAAAAAAAAACAUGACAGAUCCAAAAAGAACAGGUAUAAAGACAUUGUAAACAAUAGAUAUAGAAUCUAAUAAUUCCAAUUAUAUGGUUGUAACUUGCUCGGAACAUCACAUUCUCCAUAAAACAAUGUUAAUAGUAUGAAAU
ensembl:lncRNA